CAAGACACUCAAUUGCAAAGCCUGUUGGUUGUGAUUGUGUUUGCUCUGCAAACAUUGUUCCUUGUUAAAUGGAGAGGAGAAAGAAGAAGGUGGAACUCAAAGUUUGGUCCUUGACUGAAUAUGAAACUGAUUCUUCUUAAGCUGGGGAAAAGUUCUUAUGGCCAUCCCUUUCUGCCUCCAGUUACUUACAUCUCCAUCUAUCCUCCUGGUUUGGAGAUUAAACAUGGGAAGAGGACAGGAGAAGUGGUGCUGCAUAAAGCUUGUUAAUAAAUUGGCCUUUUCAAGUACUGUUUUAGAGGAUAACAUUUCUCAGUUACUCAUCGAAUGCUUCCAUGGAACAGCAGCAAGC